CAGGGGGGGCGGCUAUACAUGCAGUCGAGCGAUCUGAGGGAGCUUGCUCCCAAAGAUUAGCGGCGGACGGGUGAGUAACACGUGGGCAACCUGCCUGUAAGACUGGGAUAACUCCGGGAAACCGGGGCUAAUACCGGAUAAUAUCUAUUUAUACAUAUAAUUAGAUUGAAAGAUGGUUCUGCUAUCACUUACAGAUGGGCCCGCGGCGCAUUAGCUAGUUGGUGAGGUAACGGCUCACCAAGGCGACGAUGCGUAGCCGACCUGAGAGGGUGAUCGGCCACACUGGGACUGAGACACGGCCCAGACUCCUACGGGAGGCAGCAGUAGGGAAUCUUCCGCAAUGGACGAAAGUCUGACGGAGCAACGCCGCGUGAGUGAUGAAGGUUUUCGGAUCGUAAAACUCUGUUGUUAGGGAAGAACAAGUAUCGGAGUAACUGCCGGUACCUUGACGGUACCUAACCAGAAAGCCACGGCUAACUACGUGCCAGCAGCCGCGGUAAUACGUAGGUGGCAAGCGUUGUCCGGAAUUAUUGGGCGUAAAGCGCGCGCAGGCGGUUCCUUAAGUCUGAUG
rnacentral:rRNA from 2 species